rnacentral:rRNA from 1 species
GACGAACGCUGGCGGCGUGCUUAACACAUGCAGGUCGAACGGAAAGGCCUGCUUUCCCUUGUGGAUUGCGGGUACUCGAGUGGCGAACGGGUGAGUAACACGUGAGUGAUCUGCCCCCAACUUGGGUAUAAGCCUGGGAAACUGGGUCUAAUUCCCGAUAGGACUGCAGGGUGGUGCCUGUGGUGGAAAACGAUUUUCUAGUGGUUGGGGAUGAGCUCGCGGCCUAUCAGCUUGUUGGUGGGGUAAUGGCCUACCAAGGCGGCGACGGGUAGCCGGCCUGAGAGGGUGGACGGCCACAUUGGGACUGAGAUACGGCCCAGACUCCUACGGGAGGCAGCAGUGGGGAAUAGUGCACAAUGGGCGGAAGCCUGAUGCAGCGACGCCGCGUGGGGGAUGACGGCCUUCGGGUUGUAAACUCCUUUCGACCGCGAGGAAGCCACCUGGUUGGAAGGGUGGUGACGGUAGUGGUAGAAGAAGCACCGGCUAACUACGUG